AUACGUAGGUGGCGAGCGUUGUCCGGAUUUACUGGGCGUAAAGGGUGCGUAGGCGGAUAUUUAAGUGGGAUGUGAAAACCCCGGGCUUAACCUGGGGACUGCAUUUCAAACUGGAUAUCUGGAGUGCAGGAGAGGAAAGCGGAAUUCCUAGUGUAGCGGUGAAAUGCGUAGAGAUUAGGAAGAACACCAGUGGCGAAGGCGGCUUUCUGGACUGUAACUGACGCUGAGGCACGAAAGCGUGGGUAGCAAACAGGAUUAGAUACCCUGGUAGUCCACGCCGUAAACGAUGAGUACUAGGUGUAGGAGGUAUCGACCCCUUCUGUGCCGCAGUAAACGCAAUAAGUACUCCGCCUGGGAAGUACGAUCGCAAGAUUAAA
rnacentral:rRNA from 1 species